ACACAAUGGAACGCGGGGCGCCGGCGGGCUAGGGGGGGUGGGACCGCCCCAGCCGCCGUCACGAGACUGCGUUCAUCCAAUCACCGCUCGUCUCUCGCCCGGCUCUUCCGCAAACUCUGGUGGCCCCGCCCCUUAAAGGCGAAGGGUUUUUCCCUUGGAAAAAAAGGCAAAAAAAAAAAAAAAAAAAGGGCUCCUUCUUCCUGCCCCGCCCCACACGCCCUUAUCUGUCGGCCGAAAAGUGUGCGGCGUAGGCCUGGGGAAGGCUCGCUUGACCCUGCGGCUGUUCUGGCGUCUUGCACCACCCGGUGCCUGCUGCCCGGCCCGGUGGGCUGAGGCGCCAGCGGGAAGAGCGCGGUUCUUUCGCCGCCGCCCUCCUUCCUUCCCUCCCGGCUGCCGGCUCCCGGCCGGUUCCCCGCGGCGCCGGCGGGCGGGGCGCUCCUGCCGCCGAUCCCGGGCCGUGCUGCGCCACAGACAUGGCAGCCCGGGCCGGCAGUCCCUGGCCAGCGAGCAAAGGGGCUGCGGAGCGAGGCCCGAGCCCCGAGGUGGGCGAAUGCGCGUACGAGUCACAGAAUAAGUUAGAUUAGAAAAGACCUUUGCGAUCAUCGAGUCCAACCUGAGACAGAAUACCACCGUGUCAAUCAGACCACGGCACUGAGUGCCACGUCCAGUCUUACGUUAAACACCCCCAGGGACGGAGACUCCACCACCUCUCCAGGCAGCUCCCAAUGCCUAAUUGCCCCUUCUGUGAAUAAAUUCCUCCUAAUCUGGGAGCGCUCUGUACUGCCCAUCCCGGAGGUGUCCAGAGCUGCCUCGGGCUCCUGUCGGCGUUAUAAAACAUAAACGAAAACCCCAAAACCCCACACUUGUAUGCCAAAGGGUAAAUAAGCGCACAAGCCCCGCGCUCUCUGCCAGGCCCCCGCGCGUGCCGGUGAUGGCGCAGGGCACGGUCUGAGGGAUCGCAGAGCCCUGACAGCGCACCCGCCCCUCAGAGGGGCUGUCGCAGGCACAGGUGACACUGGCGCGGUCCUUCCCCAGCCUUCUCGGCCCCUGAGCCGUCCCAGAGGUUACGGACCCGCCACGAGUUUUCCUCAAAUCUCUGAGGGCUCGUCCGUGAGGAAAUGCCCCAACCCGGCAUUUCCCUUGGGCGCGUUUGGACUCCGUCGGGCCGCACACCAUUAGGGGAUAGGAGUGGAAGGGAAAUGCAGGCACGUGCGUGUUUUUAAUGGAAAAUCAGGGGGUGUUGAUCCCAAACCGGACAUUUGCGAGGCGGACUUCCCUUGCCGCUCACCCUCAGGGCUGAGCUCUCUGCAAUCCACGUAAGAGCCGAAGCAGGUAUUUGGGAAGAGCCUAGACUAAACACAGAAUCCCUACUGCAGCCUGCAAGAGGAGUCUACUGGCGGGAGGAGAUUCACAGCCCUUGAGCAUCUUCCACAGAGGAGUGCAUCAGCUUUCAGAAGGUGAGAUGUGUGGAAGAUUCCCUGUUGCCACGCAAAGGAGCUGAGCCAAGGACUAACAACAGUGGUCUGAACUACAAUACGAAGGGGGAGCACGUCUGUGCUUGCACAGAAGUAUCCCACGUCGGUGCAAAAUGGGCCCGUGGAUUCCUCUAUCCCUCCUGGGUAUUUCAAUUAAAAGCCGAGAAGGAAGUCCAAGAAAAUGCCUAAAAUGGCUUGAGUCCUUCCUCACGAUCUGGAAAUGGAAGUCUGCGGUGACUAACUCCAGCCCAGCCACCAAACCCCUCCCUCCCCGACUCUGCAUUGCUCUGUUCAUUCCCAGCUCCUCUCCCGCGUUUGCAAACAGUCGGCAGUGGAAACGGUGAAGCAGUCUGGCUUCGAGCGCCAGCUCCACACGAGUGGUAUGCGACUGCAGCAGGGGCUGUCACCAGCCCAUCCCCGUGCCUAACCUAGGAAGAAGUGGUUAAAAUCUGACGGGGGCAAGGCUUGAUUAUAAGCAGAGGAAUGACUUUAAAAGAGGCUGCCGCCACGCCUGCAAACAAAGCCCGAUUAAAUCCUUCCAUGGACUUAAACUGGCUUCAAAACAGGCCUCUAACAGCUUCUCCAGUUUAAAUAAAAAUUAAAGUGCUUGUUUGUAAUUUCUAAGCCAGUUCAGAUGAUGCCUUCUGAUUUUCUUACAAAGCUAACAGCAAUAUCCGUAAAGAACAAAAUUAGCUAACUGAAAGCUGCAUCCCUUACCCACUCAGAGCUGGUAAUAUGAGCUUAUGUGAGCUUUUUUUUCUUUUUCUUUUUUUUUCCUGCUCAUUCUGUUGUGGUUAUGCAUUUGACCUGAAUUUGAAGGCAUCAGUCCUGAAAGAAGAGUUGCCUGGGCACUGGGAGCAGUGGGAGCUCAUGCUCUGAUAGUGGGUUAUUCCAUGGGCGUCAGCCCAGUGCCUUCUCUGUUCACUCACAUCGUUUGACAAGCAUGAAGUCUCGGCUCUUCUGCUCAAAUUUUAACCAUCUAGGUGCAAAUACUGAGUGAUUUUGUGUGAUUUCAACUGUUCAUUUCCUUCUACCACCCAUCCACCUCACUUAAAAGUCCAUUGAGACUUGUUUUUUGUGUAUUACCUAUCCCACGGGAGUGUGUGAUCUCUCCUGGUAUGCAAGAACGGUGACAAUGCAAAAAAAAACCCCAACAGAAUGGGAUGCUUGUCACCCCAUUACUGUGUUAUUCAAAAUCUUACAGUUCAAAAUCUUGCCUUCUCUUUCAGUUUAAUUCAGUCACAACUUUUUCCUCGAGGACUCAAAAGAGUCAGAGCUUUCUGUGCUCAUGAGUGAAGGCUAUGGGAGGAUAAAUAAUCCACUGUGGGGUCCAGGAUGUCUUGUUCUCUCCUCUUUGGUUGUGAACCAUGGAGAAAGAUAUGCUUGAAAUGUUUGACUGCUUCUGAGACAAAGCCCUCCUUGCCCUUCAUUCAGCAAUAUGGCAAAAUAUUUGGGAGACCAAACAUGGCUGGAGAUGAGUUUAUUCACAGGGUGUAUGAGGUCUUGGCUGGAGCGAUGCAGAGCUGAGCUGCUGGCAUAUGCCCUACCCAAAUUUACUCCUGCCCUCAGUAUUCCUCCAAGGGGAUUUUUCCCACAAGCACACCUGGUCACCCAUUCAUACCAAUAGAAAACCAAGAAGAGAUGGAAUCGAUUCAUUAAAACAAAGCAGGACAUUGCAUGAGACUGGGCCACAGCCUGUCUGGAGCUGAGCUGCUUCACCUCUGGAGUUUCUAACUUCCAGUUCUUCAGGGCUCAGUCUCAAAUAGAAAUUUGAGCUGCUAAAGACACUGAGAUCACCUCCCAUCCACUGCUUGAGAUGUUUGUGUUGCUUUCCUGGGCUGGCCAACAAGAAAGCUGAGGUGGAGGAUGAGUCUGAUGUCCUGGAAAAGCCAUAGAGUCAGACUGAGAGAGCACAGGUACUUUGAAGGGCUGUUUUAAAAGAUUUCUCCAGUGGACUGAUGAAGAAGGCAGGCUCAAGGUACAAGCACAUAUUGCUUUCAGCUAAGCAGGGAGAUGGAUGGCCACUCACUCUGCAUGGAGCAGCAGGACAUCAGAGCCUUGGCACCUGGAGCCAUCUCUCAUCCCCAAAACUGAACAGAAAACUGCUCUGCUGUGUUCCUGGUUUAUGUGUUGGAGCAGAGAGGUCAGGAAUCACCUUUCAUGCAAGGACCAAGAAAUCAGGACAAAUAGACCUUUCAUCUUGAAAUCUGUGCAGGAUACGUACUUUUGGAACUCCCAUUCCCUGUUGUCCAGCGGACAUACUUGGCGAGUUUUGAGCCAGCGAGAGAUGCAGUGGAAGUGGAAAGCGUGCUGGAAGACAAAGUUCAGAUCACAUAAUUUCAGAAUGUAUGAAAGCAUCUCAAUGUGAAAACUACCACUGAAAGCAUCACAGUAAGAAGAGAGUAGCAAGAGUUUGCAGGCAAAGGCGGGGACAACUGAUCAGUCAAUUAGCUGAUAAACACCAAGGAAUUGAUCCACAUUUUCAGAGAGGAGGAAACAUUAGUGAAAUCACAGCAGGGAGCCUGCUCCACAGUGCAUGCAGUGGCACCUGACUGACUUCUGUUGAAGGAGGGAGUGCAGAGUUUAGCAGCUGCUAAAAUUGGCAGAGCAGAUGCUGAUAAGGAGCAUAAUCAGAAAGAAAAGAAAGGAUUUCAGAGUGAGUAGCAGGGACGAUAUAAAUGUAUACAUGCUGAAGGAAGCUUUCUGUCAGUUUGCAGGAGAUACCAGAGCCUGAAUAAAAAGGAAUUUGCAAAAUUAAAAAGAAAGAAAGAAAAAAAUCUCAUGUGUUCAGUAAGAGCAUCCUUUCUCUUACUCCACACAGCUACUUAAAAUCAAAGUUCUAGUUGUGGUGACACACAACAACAUAAUUUUGACACUAGAAUAUCCUGACAUGGUUAAAAAUUUUGCUCUUGUCCUCUGCAAACAGAAUUGCAACAUUUAUAGUCCUGUUCUAGCAUCAUCACAUUGUAACUCGAUCCCACAGCACAGUAAGGAGGGGACUGAGGAUCAGGAAGUUAUUCCACCACGGAAUAGUUUAUUUUCCAACUCAGCCCAAGCUAGUGAGGUAUUCAAGUUUGGAGUUCACAUGCUAGUGGGACCAAUUGAUUUGAUCUUCCCCCAAAACUGGAAGCAAAUCACCUGGUUAUCCCAGACUGAGUCAUUGAAUUAGCCUGCACAUAGACAAAUCAAGCAGGCUGACAUCCAAGUGAUCCUAUUACUGGGGGAAAGGAAAAGGUAUAACUCCUAGGCAAACCAUGAUCAAGAAAAUCAUGUUCAGAAUGAAAGAUUUAUUGUUCCUUAA